AUUGAACGCUGGCGGCAUGCUUUACACAUGCAAGUCGAACGGCAGCGCCGUCUUCGCUCUUGCGGCUCGUGGCGUACGGGUGUGUGAUUCAUCCGCACGUCCCCAGUAACUGUGCCUCGCUUGUCAAAAGCCGGAUUACUACCCCAAUCGAGCUUAGGAUCAAAGCGGUGUAUCUUGGGAUCUCCCGCCCUUGGAGCGUCCGAUGAGAGAUUAGCUAGUUGGUGGGGUAAAGGCCUACCAAGCCGACGAUCUGUAGCUGGUCUGAGAGGCCGACCAGCCACACUGGAACUGAGACACGGUCCAGACUACUAAGGGAGGCAGCAGUGGGGAAUAUUGGACAAUGGGCGAAAGCCUGAUCCAGCAAUGCCGCGUGUGUGAUGAAGGCCUUCGGGUUGUAAAGCACUUUUGGUGGGAACGAAAAGCACUGGGUUAAUACCACGCUGCGAUGACGGUACCCGAAGAAUAAGCACCGGCUAACUACGUG
rnacentral:rRNA from 1 species